rnacentral:rRNA from 1 species
UACGUAGGGGGGCUAGCGUUGCUCGGAAUCACUGGGCGUAAAGCGCACGUAGGCGGCUUUUUUAAGUCAGGGGUGAAAUCCUGGAGCUCAACUCCAGAACUGCCUUUGAUACUGAGAAGCUUGAGUCCGGGAGAGGUGAGUGGAAUUCCUAGUGUAGAGGUGAAAUUCGUAGAUAUUAGGAAGAACACCAGUGGCGAAGGCGGCUCACUGGUCCGGUACUGACGCUGAGGCACGAAAGCGUGGGGGAGCAAACAGG